CCAGCACCAGUCUCCAGGAGCCCAUGCCUGCAAGCAAGCAAACCUGCUGUUGUUGACCAGAUGUGUUUCUGAAUUCAAAUACUUUGGAUUUAGAAAAGUAAUAGAGUGCACCUCCGAAUCAAACAUUGAAAUACAUCGGCUGCCAAACAUGAUUAUUGAUGUGUGAACUGAAACACGCACAUGUGUGCAGGGCAUGCAGAGGGGCGUAACAUCUCUCCUGCUGACCAAGAAACUGAUAUCAGUGGUUCUCCAAGAAACAGAGACUAAAGGGCUGGCUAUUCUGCUUUUGUGAGGUGGUGAUUACCCUAAUGAUUACGUGAAGUCAUUAUACUGGGUGAAGCAAGACACGAAGAGGAUCUUACCAGGCAGCUAAAAUAGUUCUCAAGGAAAACCAUAGAGGUAGAUCUGUAUGUGUGGGCAAGCUAUACCUAAAUUUGGAAACUUUGUACAGGCACUAAGCAAAACUGCAUUGUAUCAACAUUAUCGGGUAGAAAUCAAUUCAUGUUGUCACAAUUAAGCUAAUCUAUUUUAAUAUAUUCUGUAAGGCAGACUUAUCCUUAAUUAGAAUACUUUUCAAUCUUUUUCGUCCUUUCCAAGCGGUAAAGCUUUUAUUAAG